ACUCUGAGUAGGUAACAGGUACCAGCUACUGUCAGCAGGGAGGAAGGUAUGUGGUGACCACGAGUCCAGACCUGAGGGUCCUGACCCUCUAAUGCGGCCUCUCACCAGUGUUCGCAGAAACCCACCCGCUGAUUCAAUACGGGGACCAGGAACCUGCCAUGACAGUCACGACUCAGUCUGCCUGCACCUACAUGAUUAAAAAGCUUUAUUGCUCACACAAAGCCUGUUUGGUGGUCUCUUCAUAUGGAUGCGCAUAACAUUUGGUGCCGAAGACCCCGGACAGGGUGACUCCUUCGGGAGAUUGGUCCCCUCUCCUCACCCUCACUCCAUGAGAAGAUCCACCUACGACCUCAGGUCCUCAGACCAGCCCAAGGAACAUCUCACCAAUUUCAAACCGGACAGGAAUGUCAGGCCUCUGAGCCCGAGCUAAGCCAUCAUAUCCCCUGUGACCUGCGCUUAUACAUCCAGAUGGCCUGAAGCAACUGAAGAACCACAAAGAAGUGAAAAUACCCAGUUCCUGCCUUAACUGAUGACAUUCCACCAUUGUAAUUUGUUCCUGCCCCACCCUAACUGAUCAGUUGACCUUGUGACAUUCCUUCUCCUGGACAAUAAAUCUCAGGAGCUCCCCACUGAGCACCUUGUGACCCCCGCCUGUACCCGCAAGAGGACAACCCCCUUUAACUGUAAUUUUCCACUACCUACACAAAUCCUAUAAAACCGCCCCAUCCCUAUCUCCCUUUGCUGACUCUUUUUUCAGACUCAGUCUGCCUGCACCCACAUGAUUAAAAAGCUUAAUUGCUCACACAAA
rnacentral:lncRNA from 1 species